CGCUGAAGCCGACAGCUUGCUGUUGGUGGAUGAGUGGCGAACGGGUGAGUAACACGUGAGUAACCUGCCCCUGAUUUCGGGAUAAGCCUGGGAAACUGGGUCUAAUACCGGAUACGACCACCUGACGCAUGUUGGGUGGUGGAAAGUUUUUCGAUCGGGGAUGGGCUCGCGGCCUAUCAGCUUGUUGGUGGGGUAAUGGCCUACCAAGGCGACGACGGGUAGCCGGCCUGAGAGGGCGACCGGCCACACUGGGACUGAGACACGGCCCAGACUCCUACGGGAGGCAGCAGUGGGGAAUAUUGCACAAUGGGGGAAACCCUGAUGCAGCGACGCAGCGUGCGGGAUGACGGCCUUCGGGUUGUAAACCGCUUUCAGCAGGGAAGAAGCGAAAGUGACGGUACCUGCAGAAGAAGUACCGGCUAACUACGUGCCAGCAGCCGCGGUAAUACGUAGGGUACGAGCGUUGUCCGGAAUUAUUGGGCGUAAAGAGCUCGUAGGUGGUUGGUCACGUCUGCUGUGGAAACGCAACGCUUAACGUUGCGCGUGCAGUGGGUACGGGCUGACUAGAGUGCAGUAGGGGAGUCUGGAAUUCCUGGUGUAGCGGUGAAAUGCGCAGAUAUCAGGAGGAACACCGGUGGCGAAGGCGGGACUCUGGGCUGUAACUGACACUGAGGAGCGAAAGCAUGGGGAGCGAACAGGAUUAGAUACCCUGGUAGUCCAUGCCGUAAACGUUGGGCACUAGGUGUGGGGGACAUUCCACGUUCUCCGCGCCGUAGCUAACGCAUUAAGUGCCCCGCCUGGGGAGUAC
rnacentral:rRNA from 1 species